GACAGAGGGUGCAAACGUUGUUCGGAUUUACUGGGCGUAAAGCGCGUGUAGGCGGUCCGGUAAGUCAGCUGUGAAAGUCAAGGGCUCAACCCUUGAAUGCCGGUUGAUACUGUCGGGCUAGAGUCCGGAAGAGGCGAGUGGAAUUCCCGGUGUAGCGGUGAAAUGCGCAGAUAUCGGGAGGAACACCAAUGGCGAAGGCAGCUCGCUGGGACGGUACUGACGCUGAGACGCGAAAGCGUGGGGAGCAAACAGG
rnacentral:rRNA from 1 species